CCUACGGGAGGCAGCAGUGAGGAAUAUUGGUCAAUGGACGAGAGUCUGAACCAGCCAAGUAGCGUGAAGGAUGACUGCCCUAUGGGUUGUAAACUUCUUUUAUAUGGGAAUAAAAUGUUCCACGUGUGGGAUUUUGUAUGUACCAUAUGAAUAAGGAUCGGCUAACUCCGUGCCCGCAGCCGCGGUAAUACGGAGGAUCCGAGCGUUAUCCGGAUUUAUUGGGUUUAAAGGGAGAGUAGGUGGAUUGUUAAGUCAGUUGUGAAAGUUUGGGGCUCAAACCUAAAAUUGCAGUUGAAACUGGCAGUCUUGAGGACGUUAGGGGUAGGCGGAAUGCGUGGUGUAGCGGUGAAAUGCUUAGAUAUCACGCAGAACUCCGAUUGCGAAGGCAGCUCACUGGACUGCAACUGACACUGAGGCUCGAAAGUGUGGGUAUCAAACAGGAUUAGAUACCCGUGUAGUC
rnacentral:rRNA from 1 species